rnacentral:rRNA from 1 species
UGAGGAAUAUUGGUCAAUGGGCGGGAGCCUGAACCAGCCAAGCCGCGUGAAGGAAGAAGGCGCUAAGCGUCGUAAACAUCUUUUGUCCGGGAACAAAGGUCCGGACGUGUCCGGAUGAGAGUGUACCCGAAGAAAAAGCAUCGGCUAACUCCGUGCCAGCAGCCGCGGUAAUACGGAGGAUGCGAGCGUUAUCCGGAUUUAUUGGGUUUAAAGGGUGCGUAGGCGGUCUGUUAAGUCAGCGGUAAAAGCCCGGGGCUCAACCCGGCGAGCCGUUGAAACUGGCGGACUAGAGAGGGCGAGAAGUACGCGGAAUGCGCAGUGUAGCGGUGAAAUGCAUAGAUAUUGCGCAGAACUCCGAUUGCGAAGGCAGCGUACCGGCGCCUUUCUGACGCUGAGGCACGAAAGCGUGGGUAUCGAACAGGAUUAGAUACC